AGGGCCUCGGAGAAACAGGACAGAGAGAUGGAGACAGCUACAGAAAGGCAGUUGCUGUGACAAAACUCUGACAAUGGUAACUUAAGAGGAAAUGGUUUGUUUUAGCUCAUGGAUCAUCAGGAAGCAGAAAGCAAUGCGCGAACGCUGCUCGGUUCCUUCUCCUCAUCUGUGCAGUUCAGGGUCCCAGGUAAUGACUAUGAUUGCUUCUGAUGCUGGAUGCUGCUGGACUGUCUGGCCGUCAUUAUACUGGUACCAACACUGAAAUCACUAAAAGAUGAAUGAAGUGCCAAGCAAUCCUGAAGGGACCACCACCUGGCUGUUUCUGUUACUGACCCAGAAACCCAAGGGAAGCAGAUUCUUGAGAAAAGAAUAUGUAAGCAUUGAGGUCCAAAGGCCUCACCUUGGUCAAUGUGUUGUUCACUUCAAAUUUUGUUUCUUUCAUUUGAAUUUUGUAACUUGCCUCAUGUAGAUAUUAAACAUAAAGAUCUAUCUCUAAAUUUA